GCUCUAGGGGUGAAUUGACCAAAUUGCCCCUUACCGGUUUGAUCCGUUUUUCCAAUAACACUAGAUUGCUUCCUGAACCCUGAUUUAAUUAUUUGAGCUUGUUCACAAUUCUUUUCUGUGGUUUUCAUAUUUUUCCUAGCUUCGCAAUUAUCUCUAGGCCUGGGGUUCCAUAGGGUCCCAUUCGAAAAUAGGGCAGUGACUGACCAUGCAGUCACUUUCCGAUACGGUCACCCAUCGCUGUGACCUUGGCUCAUUUAACCAAUUAUGCUUUAUUUUCUUUAUUUCCAUUUCACCUUCAUAUAAUUUCUAUAAAUUUUUAUUCAGGGCUUUUCUGGGUGACAUAGAUAUAGGUCUAGACAUCCUGACUGUUCGGACAGGCUCUAGUCACCAGAACAGUAGAAUGUAUAAACUACUUAAUAUAGGAGGUAUUACAUAAACUAGGAUUGUCUCUGGACACACAAAUCCGUAACUUUUUUCAUGUCUUUCUGCUCAAGCCUGCCUUUGCAUUUGUUAUUGUGACAUAGGACCUACCACCCAUGUCUCGAUGAGCUACAACAGUUCCUCAAGCUCUGUUGGAUCAUUGUGUGGUUAAACGACAUAAUGCUGCAACCACAUAAGUGUUGGUUCACUGGAAAGAUUCUUCACCCGCAUAUGCUACAUGAGAAUUUGCUGAUGAUUUGAGGUUGCAAUUUCUAUCAUUUUCCUUGGGGACAAGGAAACUAAAAGGGGGAGUAUUGAUACGAAGUAGCUGGACAUAACGGUGUGUACAGUGAUUAGUGAAACAUUGUGCAGUGGAACAAAUGAAGAAAUUGAGUAAGGCAGGAAAAUUGAUAGUUCCAAUAGCUCUGCCCCAGAUGUUCUCUUCAGCUUCUCCAGGUAUCUAGGAGUGGCGGGUUCCUCAGUGAUCUUUGGGAGGAAAUUUUGUAAUGUUCAUAAACUACUAGUAUAAAUUAUUUUAAUGAACAAUUAAUGAAUAAUAAGAGACUACAAGACUAAAUUGUUCUUCUGUAAUCUCUCUUUAAAUUCUUUUCUCUUUUUAUGAGUUUUCCUCUCUUUUUUUUUGUUCUCUUCUAAUUUCUGUUUGAUUCAUAUCAUUAUUCUUGUAAGUAAUGGGUAUCCGCUUGACGGAAUUAAAUCAUGGCUUUUACUGUCCCAUGCGCACAUGGCCUCAGACCGAAAAGGUCUCUUCCUGAAUCAGAAAACAAGACCCUCAGUAUCAAGAAUAAUACAUUGAUCAGAGGAUACUUGAUAUAUGCUGCACAUGAGAUUUAGGAAACAAUAGGCUCUAAUUAUCAUAAGCCAAAAAUGAUCAAGCCACUCUUAAACAUUAUCAUCAUUUGAUCUACCAUUGUCCCAUAUGAAAUCACACCCCACAUUAGCCCUGAUCACGAACUUUACAAAAUUAAAUCAUCGCUCAGAAGACUUCUAAAUUCUUUUGAAGUGAUAGUGUGAAAUUGGUUUUAAAUCGAGUUCAACAGUUAAUAUUUCUUUUAAUUAAUUUGUAAUUAAGUUUUAAUGGUUGUUGUUGUAGUAUAGAAUAAACAAAAUGCUAAAAUUACAUACCGAAAUUAUCAUGCAGACCUGGUAAAGACUGGUUCUAGUUCUGGAAUUGGGCGGGCCAAUACCCGUUCCUUCUCUAUCGCUCUGCCUCUUCUAAUAUCUCUCUCUAUAGAUUUGCUCUGAACCCCGCAUUCCAUGGGGUCUGUGCUCGGCGACUGGCCUUCAUUUGACCCUCACAACUUUAGCCAACUUAGACC
rnacentral:misc_RNA from 1 species